CAUUGGACCGGUGGUAUACGCAACUUUGUGGCCCGCUUUGUCGACGAAUAGAUCCGGCAGAAUGCUGAGAAGAGACGUACACAUGAUCAUACUGAGAUCACAGAAACCCUGUCAGUUAACUGCUGGUGGAUUCUUUCCUGUGUCCUUGGAGACCUCUACUAAGCUCGUCAGUACCGCAGUGUCUUACUUCACACUGCUGAAGCAGUCAUCGGAAUCCUAAUUACCCGUAUGCACGUGAAUUGCAAUUCAUUUCAUGGAGCAGGAAGCUGCCAUGAAAAUUAGUAUCCAUGGGCAUUGAUAGAACUACCAUAGAGAAUGUAAAACGUUGAUAUCUACGCUGAUAACUACCACGGAGUUACAACGAUGUAACGAUAAGACGACCUAUGCAAUGAUGACUGAAGCGAAACGCUGAUAACUCACGAAAUCAACGAAAUACCUAAUAAAUAUAGUAAACGAUAUGUGACCCCUAUCUUUCAAUAGUAUUCUACAUGAACAAAUAGAUAUUUUCGAUACAAGUAUUAACAUCAUGAUAACUUUUAUUAUCACUGUAUUUUCGAGAUAAAAGUCCGGUGGAAUGAAACAGA